rnacentral:rRNA from 1 species
UGGCCGCGGUAACUUGACCGUGCAAAGGUAGCAUAAUUAUUAGUCUUUUAAUUGAAGGCUUGAAUGAACGAUUGGAUGAGAAAUAAACUUUAUUGAUUUAAAUCAUUAAAUUUAUAAUUUAAGUAAAAAUUCUUAAAUAAAUAAGUGGGACGAGAAGACCCUAUAGAGUUUAAUUUUUCUUAUUAUUGUGAAAUUAUAGAACUAAUAUUUUUUCAAUAUUAAUAAAAAUUUUGUUGGGGUGAUAUUAAAAAUUUAUUAACUUUUAAUUAGUAUUUCAUUAAUAUAUGUUUAAUUGAUCCAAUUAUUUUGAUUAUAAGAUUAAAUUACCUUAGGGAUAACAGCGUUAUUAAUUUGGAGAGUUCAAAUCGAUAAAUUAGUUUGCGACCUCGAUGUUGGAUUAAGAAAAAAUUUUAGAGCAGUAUUUAAAAUUUUAGGUCUGUUCGACCUUUAAAUUCUUACGUGAUC